rnacentral:misc_RNA from 1 species
AAUUCUCAACCUUUCUAGCUUUUAUAGCUUGUCAGGCUUGGAUUGUGGAAGUUGCUGGUUCAAAUACGAAUCAGCUCUUCUUAAAUGUAUUAGCAGAAACCUUUGCUGACCAUCUUUGGUAUGAUAAUUAUCUAUAUCAUUGAAAAUCAGUGUCCUUCCAAGGAGAGGCUUCGCUUCUAAUAGUCUUUUAGACAACUUGACAA